rnacentral:rRNA from 1 species
GACGUAGGGCGCGAGCGUUGUCCGGAUUUAUUGGGCGUAAAGAGCUCGUAGGCGGCUUGUCGCGUCGACUGUGAAAUCCCGCGGCUCAACUGCGGGUCUGCAGUCGAUACGGGCAGGCUAGAGUUCGGUAGGGGAGACUGGAAUUCCUGGUGUAGCGGUGAAAUGCGCAGAUAUCAGGAGGAACACCGGUGGCGAAAGCGGCGCACUGGGGCUUAACUGACGCUGAGGCACGAAAGCCAGGGUAGCGAACGGG